CUGUGACCAGGUAGGGGUGUAUUAUCUGGGUCUGUGACCAGGUAGGGGUGUAUUAUCUGGGUCUGUGACCAGGUAGGGGUGUAUUAUCUGGGUCUGUGACCAGGUAGGGGUGUAUUAUCUGGGUCUGUGACCAGGUAGGGGUGUAUUAGCU